UACGUAGGUGGCAAGCGUUGUCCGGAUUUACUGGGUGUAAAGGGCGUGUAGCCGGGUUGACAAGUCAGAUGUGAAAUCCUGCGGCUUAACCGCAGAACUGCAUUUGAAACUGUUGAUCUUGAGUACUGGAGAGGCAGACGGAAUUCCUAGUGUAGCGGUGAAAUGCAUAGAUAUCGCGCAGAACUCCGAUUGCGAAGGCAGCAUGCCGGCUCCACACUGACGCUGAGGCACGAAAGCGUGGGUAUCGAACAGG
rnacentral:rRNA from 1 species